rnacentral:pre_miRNA from 1 species
AACACCCAGGGAUCUUGUUAAAAGGCAGAUUCUGAUUCAUUAGUUCUGGGAGGGGGUGGGGCCUGAGAAUCUGCUUUUGUAACAAGCUCCCAGGUGAUGCUGC